CAGGACCAUGUUGGCAUCCAUCUGUUAAUUUCUGGCUAAAGAACUAGCCAGUGAUUCCAUGAGAUGGGCCUGGGGGCACGAGGCCCAGGUGAGGCACUUCUGCAGCUUAGGGUCCCUCCCCUAACCCCACCCUCAAAGGCCCUGGAGCUCAGGCCUGUACUGCCUGCCAAGGUCUUUCCUGGAACCCAGCAGAGGACAGAGCCCCUCCCUGCCUGCCCUGGCACUCUCCAGGCACAGGGUGUCCCUCUAGGCACCUUACAGACACCCCAGGAGGCUGGAGCUGAGACAGCCCCCCUUUCCAAGAGCCUUUGCCCUGGGAUGCUGCCAUUCUCCCAAUGUCCCCACCAGGCCAGAAGAGACAGCAGGCAGGCACAGGGGAAGAAGGAAGAAUUUUUUGGCUUCCUGGGUCUUUGCUGUGGCUUCAGAUGGAAGGGUGGGGAUGGCAGAAAAGCAGAGUCACAGGCUUCAGAGCAUCACACCACCUGCUUCUCCCUCCCUCCCAGGAGGAAACCUUCAGGGGCCUAGUGGUUUUGAGGGGAGGGGACAGGAAGAGACUCUGAACUCUGGGUCAACUGAGGACAAAGAGCGCUUGCCCUAUAUCUUAUUUCUUCCAGGAUUCUCUUCCUCUGCUUCCUACCCACCAUCACCCCAGAACAAACUCAUAUCUCUGUCUACAACUAAGGGAAACGGGACACGUACCCAACGGGACGUUUAUCAGCCGCUGUGUGCCGAGCCACACCUGUUGGAUGCGGAGAGGAGAGCGCCCCUCCCAGAAAGACAACUGAGUGCUGACUGCUGGUCCAGAAGAUUCCACUCCCUCCGAACUGACGAGGGGACAAAGGGUUUAUAUGCUGCGCACCUACCUGAGGAAAGUUCUGUGUUGGGUCCUGCUAAGGAUGUCAUGAAAAGUUUGACACAAUUCCUAAAAUCCUUUAUUCUUCCUCCUUCCUACAUCCACAUUUGCUGUGCCAUGUCCCUGACAGGAGUGCUUGUCCUCCGUGUCUAGCCAUCCCUUGGCUUCAGCUCAUAGGGGCCACCAACCAAAUCUGAAUCCUCUUCCCCAAGCCCAACACACUUGGUUUGUACCUUUCCCACAGCGUGGCCAGCGGCCUGUCUCCWGUUCUAGUGAUCUGUUUACUAAUCCUGUUCUAACCAGAUUAGAAAGUCCUUGAGGCAGAAACUAAAUCUGGUUCUUUGAAGCCUCCCCCAUCCCCCCAACUCAUCCUUCGCAGGCCCUGCCUGGCACGGGAGGUGGUGUUCAAUAAAUACUGGGUGUAUUGAAAUGAUUUCCUGCCCUUGGGCAGUUUGUAGGCCAGUUGAAGAGACAAACACCCGGUGUGUGAGGUUAAAUAAUAACUGAAGCCAGCAGGUGGUAAGUACCAAAUGUGCAUAACAGAUAAAGGGACUCAAAGCAAGAAGAUAGUGAUAUGGGAGAAAGCUCCUAAGAGGUUCUAGAUCUUGAGCCCUGAGUGUGUGUGUGUGUGUGUGUGUGUGUGUGUGUGUGUGUUUGUGUAGGAGGAGGAGGAGAGGGGAGGGUGGAGUGGAGGUGACUCAUUCUGGUUGACAUCACCACAAAACAGUCUUCGUGCUAGGCACUUUACAUGCAUUAUCUUUCAAAUUUAAGGAUGGGGGAGGGGUUUGGGAGGGUUGUAAGGGAUAGUGCCCAAUCCUGGCCUGCCCAGAGCCAGUGAAAGUGUAGGAGCAACCUUGAAUGUGGGCUCCCCGCCCUCAGUCCCUGGGCACUGCCUGUUCCCUGGCCUGCCACUCCUACAUACUACACCCAAGAGCACCCGGCACUGCCCAGUUCUGGAUGGAUGCACUCUGGUCCUGCCCUGGUGAACAAAUGGCUGUGUGACCUUGGCUGGGGCAUCCUGCUGUCCAUCAACCCUGCUCUCAUCUGCCCACCUCCCCUGAGUUACCCACCAAGGAUCACGAAGAAUCUCUCUGAGGUGGGUCCUCUUCUCCUUGCCACCCUGGUUUCCCUGGCACUUCAGCAAUAUUCCUGGGUCCAGCUGGAUGUGUCUAUAUCAGCCUGAAACCUGGAGGCUAGCAAGACCCUGGAACACACUCUCAGCAGUGGAGUUGGAUGGUCAGGAUUGCUCUUCAUGGGCUCAGCUUGAUUCUUGGCCAGCUGGCCUGCCUGCUGCCCCUCACCUUCUAUCCAGAGGGAAAUUCCUCACCCGCUGGACCACACCCGCUCUUGAGGACCUCCCGAGCUCUCUGGGCAGAGCGGAAGCCAGACAGAGACCGGACUCCAAGGCGACAAUCCCAGCCCUGUGUGUGCCAGGAGCCCCCAGAGGCAGGGGCCCAUGCUGCAGGAGGUUAGCUGCCCCCCAACACUCAGGAGCCUGGAGUGGGCUGCAGGGACAGAGUGCUUCUCAAAGAAGGAGAAGGAGGAGGAGGAGCCCCCGUGGAGUACGUGACUCCUGCCCCUCUGGCUGCACGCUCCAGUUACCAGGACAGAGACCCCUCCCCACGCGUCCCCAGCCUUCCCCUGCUUCCUGCUCUGGCUGCUGGGAGGCCCUGUCACCACACAUGCGCGAGCACGCACUCCGACACACGCGCCCCUCCCAGGCACCCCUGAGAGGACCAGCUGCGGCUGGGGGGUGCACUGAGUGCUGCCAGGUCCUCAGAUCCACAGCCUCCCCCCAUCCUCGCCCCCUACUGCUGAGCUGCUUGGAGGUUUAAAGCAAAACAUGACUGUCUUUCCUGCUGCUCAGUGGCAGCAGCGCUGCCGGAGGGUUAUUUUUAGCAGGGAUGCGAGGAAGGCACAUUUCUCCUUGACUGUCACCAGGGACAACCCUCACCCCCCAGCCAAGACUCGCCUGGGGAGGCAGGUUCGGAAACCCCCCUCCCAGGAAGGGGAAAUGGUGGGUUUUCUGUUCUUUCAAUUCAUCAGGCCUCGAAGUCAAGCUAGGGGCCGCUCUGAUGGGAAAUUCUAGGUUCCAAAGCCCAUGGUUUCCCCCGCCAUCCCUGGUCUCUGUGUCGCUACAAAUUUGAGGAGCAAGAGGUACGUUGUGUCUAAAGGCAGGUCGCCCAGGCUGCGGGUGUUGGGGUCCUGGGGCAGCCGGUGGUUACAGCCAGGCACUAUAGAUUGCAUGCAGUGCCCGGCUUGUGGGGGAGGGGUUCUCACAGAUGCUGGCUUGUUAAUUCAUUAAACUGCCUGUCUGGACUAUA